UACGAAGGGGGCUAGCGUUGCUCGGAAUCACUGGGUGUAAAGGGUGCGUAGGUGGUGUAUUUAUUUGAGAAGAAUGAAAAUUCAUCCUCUAUAAAAAUCUACACUUGAGUGGAAAAGACGAUAACGGACUCUCUUGCAUUAGAGUUGAAAUACGUAGAAAUUGAGAGGGGACACCAAAGGCGAAGGCAGUUAUCGAUUUUCGACUGACGCUAAGGCACGAAGGCAUGGGAAUCGAACGGG
rnacentral:rRNA from 1 species